UACGUAGGGGGCAAGCGUUGUCCGGAAUCAUUGGGCGUAAAGAGCGUGUAGGCGGCCCGGUAAGUCCGCUGUGAAAGUCCAGGGCUCAACCCUGGGAUGCCGGUGGAUACUGUCGGGCUCGAGUCCGGAAGAGGAGUGUGGAAUUCCUGGUGUAGCGGUGAAAUGCGCAGAUAUCAGGAGGAACACCAAUGGCGAAGGCAGCACUCUGGGACGCGACUGACGCUGAGACGCGAAAGCGUGGGGAGCAAACAGG
rnacentral:rRNA from 1 species